CCCUACAGUCCUACCACUCUGAACUCCUCUGAUCUUGGAGGCCAAGCAGGGUGGGACCUGGUUAGUACUUGGAUGGGAGAACCCAUGGUCUCUCAUUUGGGAAGCAUAUACAGAAGGAA
ensembl:rRNA 5S_rRNA 5S ribosomal RNA